rnacentral:rRNA from 1 species
GACGAACGCUGGCGGCGUGCCUAAUACAUGCAAGUUGAGCGAUGAAGAUUGGUGCUUGCACCAAUUUGAAGAGCAGCGAACGGGUGAGUAACGCGUGGGGAAUCUGCCUUUGAGCGGGGGACAACAUUUGGAAACGAAUGCUAAUACCGCAUAAUAACUUUAAACAUAAGUUUUAAGUUUGAAAGAUGCAAUUGCAUCACUCAAAGAUGAUCCCGCGUUGUAUUAGCUAGUUGGUGAGGUAAAGGCUCACCAAGGCGAUGAUACAUAGCCGACCUGAGAGGGGGAUCGGCCAAAUUGGGACUGAGACACGGCCCAAACUCCUACGGGAGGCAGCAGUAGGGAAUCUUCGGCAAUGGACGAAAGUCUGACCGAGCAACGCCGCGUGAGUGAAGAAGGUUUUCGGAUCGUAAAACUCUGUUGGUAGAGAAGAACGUUGGUGAGAGUGGAAAGCUCAUCAAGUGACGGUAACUACCCAGAAAGGGACGGCUAACUACGUG